rnacentral:rRNA from 1 species
AUAACACUUAGAAAUAGGUGCUAAUACCGCAUAAGCGCACAGCUUCGCAUGAAGCAGUGUGAAAAACUCCGGUGGUAUACGAUGGAUCCGCGUCUGAUUAGCUGGUUGGCGGGGUAAAGGCCCACCAAGGCGACGAUCAGUAGCCGGCCUGAGAGGGUGAACGGCCACAUUGGGACUGAGACACGGCCCAAACUCCUACGGGAGGCAGCAGUGGGGAAUAUUGCACAAUGGGGGAAACCCUGAUGCAGCGACGCCGCGUGAGUGAAGAAGUAUUUCGGUAUGUAAAGCUCUAUCAGCAGGGAAGAAAUAAAGUCCUUCGGACUUUGGACGGUACCUGACUAAGAAGCCCCGGCUAACUACGUGCCAGCAGCCGCGGUAAUACGUAGGGGGCAAGCGUUAUCCGGAUUUACUGGGUGUAAAGGGAGCGUAGACGGCAGCGCAAGUCUGGAGUGAAAUCCCAUGGCUUAACCAUGGAACUGCUUUGGAAACUGUGCAGCUAGAGUGCAGGAGAGGUAAGCGGAAUUCCUAGUGUAGCGGUGAAAUGCGUAGAUAUUAGGAGGAACACCAGUGGCGAAGGCGGCUUACUGGACUGUAACUGACGUUGAGGCUCGAAAGCGUGGGGAGCAAACAGGAUUAGAUACCCUGGUAGUCCACGCUGUAAACGAUGAUUACUAGGUGUUGGGGGACCAAGGUCCUUCGGUG